UAACGACGAUAAUGGACGCCCGAUAAGGA
rnacentral:piRNA from 1 species